GUGUCAGCCGCCGCGGUAAUACGUAGGGGGCGAGCGUUGUCCGGAUUUAUUGGGCGUAAAAGGCUUGUAGGUGGCCAUGCGAAGUCGGAUGUGAAAUCUCCCGGCUCAACUGGGAGGGGUCAUUCGAUACUGGCAGGCUCGAGGCCGGUAGGGGGUAGCGGAAUUCCCGGUGUAGUGGUGGAAUGCGUAGAUAUCGGGAGGAACACCAGUGGCGAAGGCGGCUACCUGGACCGGUUCUGACACUGAGGAGCGAAAGCGUGGGGAGCGAUCCGGAUUAGAAACCCGUGUAGUCC
rnacentral:rRNA from 1 species